rnacentral:rRNA from 1 species
CUCGUAGGCGGAUAUUUAAGUCAGGGGUGAAAUCCCAGAGCUCAACUCUGGAACUGCCUUUGAUACUGGGUAUCUUGAGUAUGGAAGAGGUAAGUGGAAUUCCGAGUGUAGAGGUGAAAUUCGUAGAUAUUCGGAGGAACACCAGUGGCGAAGGCGGCUUACUGGUCCAUUACUGACGCUGAGGUGCGAAAGCGUGGGGAGCAAACA